rnacentral:rRNA from 1 species
AGUGAACGCUGGCGGUAGGCCUAACACAUGCAAGUCGAACGGCAGCACAGGAGAGCUUGCUCUCUGGGUGGCGAGUGGCGGACGGGUGAGGAAUACAUCGGAAUCUACUCUGUCGUGGGGGAUAACGUAGGGAAACUUACGCUAAUACCGCAUACGACCUACGGGUGAAAGCAGGGGACCUUCGGGCCUUGCCCGAUUGAAUGAGCCGAUGUCGGAGUAGCUAGUUGGCGGGGUAAAGGCCCACCAAGGGGACGAUCCGUAGCUGGUCUGAGAGGAUGAUCAGCCACACUGGAACUGAGACACGGUCCAGACUCCUACGGGAGGCAGCAGUGGGGAAUAUUGGACAAUGGGCGCAAGCCUGAUCCAGCCAUACCGCGUGGGUGAAGAAGGCCUUCGGGUUGUAAAGCCCUUUUGUUGGGAAAGAAAUCCAGCUGGCUAAUACCCGGUUGGGAUGACGGUACCCAAAGAAUAAGCACCGGCUAACUUCGUGCCAGCCGCCGCCGUAA